GGGCGAUUGGCGCAAUGGUAGCGCGUUGGUUUUCGGUCUUCGUAUGUUCACCAAAGGUUGAGGGUUCGAGCCCCUUGUCGCUCG